rnacentral:lncRNA from 1 species
AGUCCAAUGGGGGUUUUCCCACCCAGAGAGACGCCAUCCUAUCCAAGUUGUGCUGUGGUCACGUCACCGUAACAAACCUGUGAGUCUGGUGUGCUGUAAGGGGUGGAAGUGCUGAGAUCUUUGGUGGCUUUAACUGACCCUCAGGAGGGGAAGCUGACUCAGUCUCAAGAGAAAGCACUGAACUUGGUGGGCAUUUGGAAAACUGUAUUUGCAGCUGUUCCUGGGCCUACAUCAAAGACCCC